AUUUUAUAGAACGAGAUCUUGGAUUUCGGAGAGGACCCCGUGACCAGUGUGGAGGCCAAAUUGGCAAUAUUAGCUUUCCCAUACAAUUGGGCAGAUAUGGUGGAACAAGAAGAGAAGUUAAAGAAUGAUGGAGAUGUCCCUGGGCCUCAGGAGCAUCUUGGCCAGACAAAUAUCAUGAGUACUGUUGUCCAAGCAGCGGG